GCUGGGUGUGGUAGUGCACGCCUAUAAUCCCUGCAACUCAGGAGGCUGAGGCAGGAGGAUCACAAGUUUGAGGCCAGCCUGAGCAACUUAGGAAGGCCCUAAGCAACUUAGUGGGAACCUGUCUCAA
rnacentral:sRNA from 1 species